rnacentral:rRNA from 1 species
AACGAACGCUGGCGGCAUGCCUAACACAUGCCAGUCGAACGAGACCUUCGGGGCUAGUGGCGCACGGGUGCGUAACGCGUGGGAACCUUCCCUUAGGUUCGGACUAACUCCCCGAAAGGGGUGCUAAUACGGGAUAAGGUCUUCGGACCAAAGAUUUAUCGCCUUUGGAUGGGCCCGCGUUUGAUUAGCUAUUUGGUAUGGUAAAAGCCUACCCCGGCAACGAUGCAUAGCUGGUCUGAGAGGGUGGUUAGCCACACUGUGACUGAGACACGGCCCAGACUCUUACGGGGGGACGCAGUCGGGAAUCUUACGCAAUGGAGGAAAGCUUGACAGAGCAACGCCGCGGGAGGGAUGAAGGACUUCGGACGGUAAAGCUAUGUUAUUAGGGAAGAACAAAUGUGUAAGUAACUAUGCACGUCUUGACGGUACCGAAUGAGAAAGCCACGGCUAACUACGUG